rnacentral:rRNA from 1 species
GGUUAAGCGACUAAGCGUACACGGUGGAUGCCCUGGCAGUCAGAGGCGAUGAAGGACGUGCUAAUCUGCGAUAAGCGUCGGUAAGGUGAUAUGAACCGUUAUAACCGGCGAUUUCCGAAUGGGGAAACCCAGUGUGAUUCGUCACACUAUCAUUAACUGAAUCCAUAGGUUAAUGAGGCGAACCGGGGGAACUGAAACAUCUAAGUACCCCGAGGAAAAGAAAUCAACCGAGAUUCCCCCAGUAGCGGCGAGCGAACGGGGAGGAGCCCAGAGCCUGAAUCAGUGUGUGUGUUAGUGGAAGCGUCUGGAAAGGCGCGCGAUACAGGGUGACAGCCCCGUACACAAAAAUGCACAUGCUGUGAGCUCGAUGAGUAGGGCGGGACACGUGGUAUCCUGUCUGAAUAUGGGGGGACCAUCCUCCAAGGCUAAAUACUCCUGACUGACCGAUAGUGAACCAGUACCGUGAGGGAAAGGCGAAAAGAACCCCGGCGAGGGGAGUGAAAAAGAACCUGAAACCGUGUACGUACAAGCAGUGGGAGCACGCUUAGGCGUGUGACUGCGUACCUUUUGUAUAAUGGGUCAGCGACUUAUAUUCUGUAGCAAGGUUAACCGAAUAGGGGAGCCGAAGGGAAACCGAGUCUUAACUGGGCGUUAAGUUGCAGGGUAUAGACCCGAAACCCGGUGAUCUAGCCAUGGGCAGGUUGAAGGUUGGGUAACACUAACUGGAGGACCGAACCGACUAAUGUUGAAAAAUUAGCGGAUGACUUGUGGCUGGGGGUGAAAGGCCAAUCAAACCGGGAGAUAGCUGGUUCUCCCCGAAAGCUAUUUAGGUAGCGCCUCGUGAAUUCAUCUCCGGGGGUAGAGCACUGUUUCGGCAAGGGGGUCAUCCCGACUUACCAACCCGAUGCAAACUGCGAAUACCGGAGAAUGUUAUCACGGGAGACACACGGCGGGUGCUAACGUCCGUCGUGAAGAGGGAAACAACCCAGACCGCCAGCUAAGGUCCCAAAGUCAUGGUUAAGUGGGAAACGAUGUGGGAAGGCCCAGACAGCCAGGAUGUUGGCUUAGAAGCAGCCAUCAUUUAAAGAAAGCGUAAUAGCUCACUGGUCGAGUCGGCCUGCGCGGAAGAUGUAACGGGGCUAAACCAUGCACCGAAGCUGCGGCAGCGACGCUUAUGCGUUGUUGGGUAGGGGAGCGUUCUGUAAGCCUGUGAAGGUGUGCUGUGAGGCAUGCUGGAGGUAUCAGAAGUGCGAAUGCUGACAUAAGUAACGAUAAAGCGGGUGAAAAGCCCGCUCGCCGGAAGACCAAGGGUUCCUGUCCAACGUUAAUCGGGGCAGGGUGAGUCGACCCCUAAGGCGAGGCCGAAAGGCGUAGUCGAUGGGAAACAGGUUAAUAUUCCUGUACUUGGUGUUACUGCGAAGGGGGGACGGAGAAGGCUAUGUUGGCCGGGCGACGGUUGUCCCGGUUUAAGCGUGUAGGCUGGUUUUCCAGGCAAAUCCGGAAAAUCAAGGCUGAGGCGUGAUGACGAGGCACUACGGUGCUGAAGCAACAAAUGCCCUGCUUCCAGGAAAAGCCUCUAAGCAUCAGGUAACAUCAAAUCGUACCCCAAACCGACACAGGUGGUCAGGUAGAGAAUACCAAGGCGCUUGAGAGAACUCGGGUGAAGGAACUAGGCAAAAUGGUGCCGUAACUUCGGGAGAAGGCACGCUGAUAUGUAGGUGAAGUCCCUCGCGGAUGGAGCUGAAAUCAGUCGAAGAUACCAGCUGGCUGCAACUGUUUAUUAAAAACACAGCACUGUGCAAACACGAAAGUGGACGUAUACGGUGUGACGCCUGCCCGGUGCCGGAAGGUUAAUUGAUGGGGUCAGCGCAAGCGAAGCUCUUGAUCGAAGCCCCGGUAAACGGCGGCCGUAACUAUAACGGUCCUAAGGUAGCGAAAUUCCUUGUCGGGUAAGUUCCGACCUGCACGAAUGGCGUAAUGAUGGCCAGGCUGUCUCCACCCGAGACUCAGUGAAAUUGAACUCGCUGUGAAGAUGCAGUGUACCCGCGGCAAGACGGAAAGACCCCGUGAACCUUUACUAUAGCUUGACACUGAACAUUGAGCCUUGAUGUGUAGGAUAGGUGGGAGGCUUUGAAGUGUGGACGCCAGUCUGCAUGGAGCCGACCUUGAAAUACCACCCUUUAAUGUUUGAUGUUCUAACGUUGACCCGUAAUCCGGGUUGCGGACAGUGUCUGGUGGGUAGUUUGACUGGGGCGGUCUCCUCCUAAAGAGUAACGGAGGAGCACGAAGGUUGGCUAAUCCUGGUCGGACAUCAGGAGGUUAGUGCAAUGGCAUAAGCCAGCUUGACUGCGAGCGUGACGGCGCGAGCAGGUGCGAAAGCAGGUCAUAGUGAUCCGGUGGUUCUGAAUGGAAGGGCCAUCGCUCAACGGAUAAAAGGUACUCCGGGGAUAACAGGCUGAUACCGCCCAAGAGUUCAUAUCGACGGCGGUGUUUGGCACCUCGAUGUCGGCUCAUCACAUCCUGGGGCUGAAGUAGGUCCCAAGGGUAUGGCUGUUCGCCAUUUAAAGUGGUACGCGAGCUGGGUUUAGAACGUCGUGAGACAGUUCGGUCCCUAUCUGCCGUGGGCGCUGGAGAACUGAGGGGGGCUGCUCCUAGUACGAGAGGACCGGAGUGGACGCAUCACUGGUGUUCGGGUUGUCAUGCCAAUGGCACUGCCCGGUAGCUAAAUGCGGAAGAGAUAAGUGCUGAAAGCAUCUAAGCACGAAACUUGCCCCGAGAUGAGUUCUCCCUGACCCUUUAAGGGUCCUGAAGGAACGUUGAAGACGACGACGUUGAUAGGCCGGGUGUGUAAGCGCAGCGAUGCGUUGAGCUAACCGGUACUAAUGAACCGUGAGGCUUAACCUU